UGGGGAAUAUUGCACAAUGGGCGCAAGCCUGAUGCAGCCAUGCCGCGUGUGUGAAGAAGGCCUCGGGUUGUAAAGCACUUUCAGCGAGGAGGAAGGUGGUGAGCUUAAUACGCUCAUCAAUUGACGUUACUCGCAGAAGAAGCACCGGCUAACUCCGUGCCAGCAGCCGCGGUAAUACGGAGGGUGCAAGCGUUAAUCGGAAUUACUGGGCGUAAAGCGCACGCAGGCGGUUUGUUAAGUCAGAUGUGAAAUCCCCGGGCUCAACCUGGGAACUGCAUUUGAAACUGGCAAGCUAGAGUCUCGUAGAGGGGGGUAGAAUUCCAGGUGUAGCGGUGAAAUGCGUAGAGAUCUGGAGGAAUACCGGUGGCGAAGGCGGCCCCCCUGGACGAAGACUGACGCUCAGGUGCGAAAGGCGUGGGGCAGCAAACAGGAUUAGAUACCCUGGUGGUCCACGCUGUAAACGAUGUCGAUUUUGGAGGUUGUGCCCUUGAGGCG
rnacentral:rRNA from 1 species